rnacentral:rRNA from 1 species
ACGUAGGGGGCAAGCGUUGUUCGGAAUUACUGGGCGUAAAGGGCAUGUAGGCGGUUUAGUAAGCUUGGCGUGAAAGACCACAGCUCAACUGUGGGGUUGCGUUGAGAACUGCUGAACUUGAGUUACGGAGAGGGAGCUAGAAUUCCUGGUGUAGGGGUGGAAUGCGUAGAGAUGAGGAGGAAUACCGAAGGCGAAGGCAGCCUUCUGGCUCAUAACUGACGCUGAGGUGCGAAAGUGUGGGGAUAAAUCAG